AUUGAACGCUGGCGGCAUGCUUUACACAUGCAAGUCGAACGGUAACAGGGAGCUUGCUCCGCUGACGAGUGGCGAACGGGUGAGUAAUGCGUCGGAACGUGCCGAGUAGUGGGGGAUAACGCAUCGAAAGGUGUGCUAAUACCGCAUACGUACUGAGGUAGAAAGUGGGGGACCUUCGGGCCUCACGCUAUUCGAGCGGCCGACGUCUGAUUAGCUAGUUGGUGAGGUAAAGGCUCACCAAGGCGACGAUCAGUAGCGGGCCUGAGAGGAUGAUCCGCAACACUGGGACUGAGACACGGACCAGACUCCUACGGGAGGCAGCAGUGGGGAAUUUUGGACAAUGGGCGCAAGCCUGAUCCAGCCAUGCCGCGUGUCUGAAGAAGGCCUUCGGGUUGUAAAGGACUUUUGUCCGGGAGCAAAUGCCUGGUGUUAAUAGCAUCGGGAGCUGAGAGUACCGGAAGAAUAAGCACCGGCUAACUACGUGCCAGCCGCCGCCGUAAAAC
rnacentral:rRNA from 1 species